GAUGAACGCUGGCGGCGUGCCUAAUACAUGCAAGUCGAGCGAACAGACGAGGAGCUGUCUCCUCUGACGGUAGCGGCGGGCGUGUGAGUAACACGUGGAUAACCUACCUGUAAGAAUGGGAUAGCUUCGGUAAACCGGAGCGAAUACCGUAUAAUAUAUUGAACCGCGUGGUGCAAUAGUGAAAGACGGUUUUGCUGUCACUGAUAGAUGGAGCCGCGCCACAUUAGCUAGUUGGUAAGGUAACGGCUUACCAAGGCAACGAUGCGUAGCCGACCUGAGAGGGUGAUCGGCCACACUGGAACUGAGACACGGUCCAGACUCCUACGGGAGGCAGCAGUAGGGAAUCUUCCGCAAUGGGCGCAAGCUUGACGGAGCAACGCCGCGUGAGUGAUGAAGGUCUUCGGAUCGUAAAACUCUGUUAUUCGGGACGAACAAAUGUGUAAGUAACUAUGCACGUAUUGACGGUACCUAAUCAGAAAGCCACGGCUAACUACGUG
rnacentral:rRNA from 1 species